GUGCUUUUAACUCUCCAAAUAUGUAAUCGACAACAAACCUAACCAUUACAGUUACUUUGUAAUUAUUUAUUCAGGUUUAUUAAAAAAAGAUUAUGACUAGCUGUAGCUUUAAGUUUUUAAUAUGUAACAUAAGUAAAUUUGUAUUAAUGCAUGCUCCAUCAGAAAUUGAAAUCAAUAAACAUUUUAUUUAAAUUGGCCCUAAUUAUUUAAAUAUGUUGAAUUAUGGCCCCUGUUGUGUCGCUCCUUAUUUUGUGUAAUAUUUAGUAAUUUUUUACAAACCAUUGAAAAUAAAUGUUUAAUUGGCUUAUAUACGAGGGCUGAAGUUUUCUCAUAUAUGCAUUUAAAAAAUAUUGAUUGGUACAAAAAGAAGGAGAUACGAAUUGGUUUCCAUUUGGUUUAGACACAUUUUUUCAAGUAUGUUUCAAACGUGAUUAACCAACUAGGUGCAAGUUGUGGUUUAAAGGAUAAGAUAAUUAAGUAAAAAAAGAUAAAGAUGCACAAGUCUGUGAAUAGUAUGUAGUCUUAUUUUGUGUUACUGCCUUACUAAUUAAAACUAACAAUCGUUUAGCUCCUGUGUAGACACCACAUAACAUUCCUAUGAUUUCUAUGGUUGUUACUUACUCGUUUAGAUCUAUGAAAGCAAAGCUGACCAUAAUUUGAUAUUAUGAAAUUGCAGUUAUUGUCAGUUAUUAAUGAUUUGUUAAAUGUAUUCAUUUAAUUAUUAAUUUAAUAUAUUCACUGUUUAGUAAUUCAGCAACACGUAAUUUCUCACAGUAACAGUAGUUGAAAACAAGUUAACGAGAUAAACGCCAUGGUAAGAACCAAGGAAUUACUGUCAGAGCAAUCAUCCUGACAUGAUAUAGUCAAUGUCUACACAAGAGACCACCUAUGUAGUGAUAACAUCUUUAAUCAAGAAUAGCGUUUGAACAAGUGCUAAAGCCUUCUACAGAAAGAAAAAAUCAGUUAACGUUGAUGAUCCUUCGAUUAAUCAAGGUAAGAUUUACAUGUUUAGUAAUUUACUUUUUACUUAUUUUACAGUCAUGUUUUUGCUUAUUACUGUCACUUAUUUGUUAAAUAACAUCUAGUAAGUAUUAAGAAAAAGAACUGUAAUUGAUUUUUAAAAUUGUCUUUAUAAAGAAAUUACUAAUUUUUGACUUCUGUAAAAAAGAUACUUCAGUAUCCUUAAUAUUUAUUUUUGGGGUAAUUGUCUUAUGAUAAAUUAUUAUUGGAGUCUUUUAUUUAACGUUACUUAAUGAAAUUUAUUAAUUAAUUCGUACAAUAAUUGAGUUUUUUAGGCGUUUUCUUAAUGAAUUUUUGACUCUUAACCUUUGUUAUAAAAAAAUCAUACCUUAAUGUUAAAUAAAAAAACAACCAAGUAAAGGUUUCUGAUUAAAAGUAUACACCAUCAUUUUGCGUUAAGGUGUUCCGGAAUACCUAGAAAAAUUGAUUUCUUGACUAUAGUCAACACUAAAGAAGCCUUUUCAUCUGGCUUGUUUUCUAUUUAUCAUUGAUACUAUUGGGGAAGAAUUAAUAACUAAUUCAUACUGUAAGUUUUAUUUUUUUUUUCAGUAAAUAUAGAAAAUAGAUUUUUGAAGUAAUUUUUU
rnacentral:lncRNA from 1 species